GUGUGUGUGUGUGUGUAUGUGUAUGUGUGUGUGUGUGUCAAGGGAAGAGCAAAAAUGAGAGAGAAGGCUCUGGUUGAGUGUCCAGAAAACCUAAAAGGAUAAUGGAGCCCCUCCCCACCGCCCCAGGCUGGUUGAAUUUCCCUGAUGCUGCAGUGUGUCCCCACCUCCAUCACCAGACUCUGUCCCUCUGGGGAAGGUCAUUCUGGGUGUGGCGUAGGAAGCACGGCUGCCUGCAAGACUGAGGGCAAUGAUACAGGCCACAUAGACUUUACUUUCAGUUGAAGUGAAAACAGAAACUUUUGAGGUUUAAAAAAUAACACUAGACUUCAUUACAUUUUUGUUCCUUCCUUGCCCCCAAAUACCACCAUAAUCAGAGCAUAAUGGAUAUCCCGUCUGGAAAUAUUCCUAGCCCAGACAGUACGAUGAAGAGCUCUCAGGCCAGACUGGGAGAGAGGCAUUAUUUUUAGGGUCAGUUAUCUCAGGAAAAGCACCAAGAGCCAAGAGGUCCUUGGCAGCAUUGCCCACCACAAUUAAGAAAACCAAUAUUCCAUUUAGCAGAAGGUCUUAGAACAUGGCUCACGCCAGUAGAGCAGUUUAUACUUUUCAAAGUGUUUUUUAAAUUAUACUUUCCUUUCUGAGUGGUUUUAUUUAUCUAACAGAUAGUCCUCUUUAAUUACGUACUCAAAAGACUUUUCCUCCCACUGAAUACAACUGCGUUUUCCAACAAUACAGCAUUGUGAUUUCUUAGAAACACUGUUUUCAGGUUUUCUGAGUCUCCCUUGUCUUUUCUGUGGUUUUUAAUAAUUUAUCCCUCCAGCCUGCUUUCUCUUGAUCUGUGGAUACAAGCUGGCCUUUCUGCUUUCCUGCCAUGCCAGUAAGAACCUAUCACAAGAUCUCACCUCUCUCUGGGUCCUCUGACUCUUGCAUUUUAGAAAUCCUCAUGUGUCUUCAUUUUCCUCCAGGUUUAGGCCACCUACCUCCAAAUCCCUCUCUUAAAGUCAUAUUCAUCUCCUGGGGAAGACCCUUCUCUCUUUCCCACGAACAUUAUGUUGAAUCUACUACAACUUUAAGUAAAAAUGUUUCACACGAUGACCUUCUGAAUAUCAGAUUUUAAAAAUGUCAUGCAACCUUUUAAAGAUCUUUAACUCUUUUUCAGAAGAAUUUCUCUGAGAAUUCUGACUUCUGUUUUCACAACUGCAUUUUGACAUCCUCAGCUCAGCUCUGUUGUACCAGUUACUUCCCCUGCAUUCCAAACCAGUUCUUUCUAUUUUCAAAAAUCCAUUCUCACUCCCAGUACUCUCUGGGCUCGUGAGCUUUUUAUCCCAGGGAAGUGAAAUCUGAGGCCUGUGCCUGGAGUGCUGCUCAGCUCCUGAACAUGGAGAGCCCAAGCGUUUAACUAGAAAGCAGCUGUGUCAUCGCAGAGCUUAUUGCCUUUCUUCCUGAAACUGCAGCAUGGGAUUCUCCAAGGCUCAACGUGCCCUCAGCCUCAGCAAGACCCUCCUCUCAUCAGCAGGAGACAAACACAAACAUGCCAGCAAGCAAGACCAGGUGCUACUUGAUCACUCCCGCAAUGAUGGCUAAAGCCUUCCAGUUCUGCACAUUUGCUUUCCUCUCUGCAAUCUUUAUUUGGGCCCCAUGAUUUCUUUAAAGAGAAAAUAAGCAUACAGAAACAGUAAUGCAUGAAAUAAUACGAUGUCUGGGAUGUUGCUUCAGAAUUAUUCAGUGCAUAGGGGGGAAGUGGGAAGUCAUAAGGAGAGAAAAUUGGCCAUGAGUUGAAAAUUGUUGAAGUCAAGUGAUGGAUAGAUACAUGGGGAUUCAUCACAUUAUUUUACUACUUAUGUGUAUGUUUGAGAAUUUCCACAAUGAUUUUUUUUUCAAAAAGAUAAUGGGUGAAGUGCUCAGAGGGGAUAGUCAAAAACAUCAUUUCCCUCACCGAGGACCUCAGCCAGAGCUGCCCUUAACAGAGCUGUCACUGAGUUACUGGCCUCAGUCAGCAUCUUGUCCUCUGCUGGGGCAGAGCUGCUUCAUGCUAGGGUGGGUGACGGCAGGUCUGGCACCUGGUCAGGGAAGGAGCUGAUGGCAGACCCCAGGCACCCUGCCCACAUAAGUGCCCUGCCUCUGAAGUCUCCAAGGCGCCCAAUGGUGGGCACUGCUGGUUUCAUUGGAGGUCUCAUAGGGCAGCCUUUAGGGGACCCCCAAGAAAGGUGUGAGGCAAACUUCUAAUGUUUCCCUGUCCUUGCCAGGGCAGAUGUAGAAUUCCUACAGAAAGCUUUUGCUUUUUUUAGCAAUUCCAGCGGAUCAUCCUCACGCUUCUGGUGCCCUCUCAUCCCAUUCUGUUAAUUCUUACACAGCCCUGACUUCCCUGCAUGGGCCAUUUCAGUUUGCUAAUACCUGGCUUUGAAAACAGCAACUGGAAGCUUGCUCAGCUAUCUCCUAAAGCCAUGGAAUUGUGGGGAACACAGGGCUCUGCCCUCCUCCGUGUGAAUCCUGUUCUUCUAUAAGUCCCCCAAUCUUUGCUGGCAGGCUGGUGAGUGGGUCCCCCUCCUCUGAUGGGGCCUGCCUGGCCCACUGCCUGGGAUAGCUGUCCAUAUGUAUACAGUUGAUCCCAGGAGGAAAGUGGGCUGAAAUCCAGCUUAUGCUCUAUGUACACAGGUCGGGGGCUGCCCAGAGAGGCUCCCACCCCUUUAAGGGCUGGAAGUCACCUUGUACUCUCAACCCCAUUCCUCUGGUUCUUAUUUUUCUCCACUCUCUGUGGAAUCCCACAGAGCCAUCUGAAUGCCAGACUUCCCACCCCCAGGUGCUGUCUCUUCUCAGAGCCAGGCCUGCCCUGGGUGGCCCUCUUUUCUCACCUGUCCCAGCCUCACUUGAACAGAAUUUUCUGUGUGUUAUCGCUGUUCACUACUCCAGCUACAGCUACUGCAGCCCCCACUAUCUCCCACCUGAAUCACACUACAGCCCCCUGUCACCCACAGUUUGGCUCCCCACCAGGGGCCCUCACCUGUAAUCUCACCUAUAGGAGCAGAUGCCAUGACUCUGUUUAACCUCUCACCUACAGGUAAACAUGAGUGUCUAGGCUGGCCUGUGGUACCCCCUGACCUGGCUUUUACCCACUGCCUUGGCCCCUUUCUUACCACCUGUUAUGUCUCUGGCCUUCUCCCUGCCCGAGAGCUCUCCUCUGCACAGGCUUUGACCUUCCUCCUCCCAGACUCAGCUCUAGGCGUCACCUCCUCCAUGGCCCCUUCCUAACCAGCUUCCAGCCCCCUGACUCCUAUGCACAUUUUCUGAUUGCUAAUGCUUUUAUAUAAACAGAUGAUGACACACAUUGCAUUUUAGAAUAUUUUCAAUUUUCAUAAAAGUUACAAAGAUAGUAGAGAGUUUUCAUCUACCCUUCACCUGUUUUCCUAUAAAGUUAUUAACAUCCCACAUUGCCAUGGUGUACCUGUCAAAACUAAGAAACCAACAUUGCUUGUUGAUGUCUUUUCAGCUGUUUUUAAACAAGGAAGUCUGGAAUUGAGUACGUAAGCAGAGCUGAAUCCACGGCUGUGAAGAGGGGAGCUGGCCACCCUGUGCAGUCUGGAUUCUCCAGGCAGAUGGUGGACAUGAGAAAGUGGCCUGCACCCUGAGUUGCCCUUUGGUGGCCUCAAGGGAGUCCAAGUUCCCAACCUCUGUCCAACAAGCUGACACUCACAGCCUUCUAGAGAUAGUGGGUGAUGUCACAAUUUGCUCCCACAGGGGACUGUGAUGGGGUCAGGGGGAGAAGAAGAAGAAAUAACAUCUAUCAAAUCAGCCCUGCCUCAAAGUUCAGCUCACCCACCAGGAAUAAAACAUUUUCUACUGAAAAUGAAGAUAGUUUCUGAGUGUCCAGAUCAAAGACAGAAACAUAAUCUGUUGCAAAAUUUCUGCUCUUCUUGAGUUGCUGAAAGUAGUUCUUCCUGGUGCUAAAAGACUGCAGCUCCUUGAGAGAAGAGAAUAUGUCAGUUUUGUUCUCUGCUGUAACCUCAAUGCUGAGAGCAGGGUACAGACUCCCAGCCAGGCUGUCCUGACCUCCUGGGGACAAUGGCCAAGGAAGAGAAGCUCCAUGAUGAAGCCAAGGAAAGAGGGGCUGGGCCCCUUCUGUCUCAAGUGACACUGGUCAGGAGCAGAUUCAGCUUCCACAUUUUUAUAACAAGGCUAUAAUACCUGUCUGAUGCAGCUAUUACAAAAUCUGAAGGAUAUAGCAACAAGGUACCAUCUUAGAAGCAGAUGCCAGACACAGCCCUCAGCAGGCACCAGAUCUACUGGCACCUUGAUUUUGAACUUCCCAGCCUCCAGAACUGAGCAAAUAAAUUUCUAUUAUUUGUAAAUCACUCAGUCUGUGGUAUUUUGUUAUAGCAGCAUAAAUGGACAAAACCAGAUAUGUAUAUAUACACUUGCCAGGACUAAUUUAUAAAGCCAAUUUAGAAGGAGAUUCUGGGCCACUGGACAGUCUGGGACAAUAUACAUGGAAAUAACUAACUCUUGAAUCACUGCACAUUUUGUGAUUCUGGAAGAUGUACAAGUAUAGGAGGUGUAAGUUGAGAGCAGUGAUCACCUUGAAAACAAAAUUAAAAAUUCAUUCUUGCAGUUGCAUUGACUAAUAUGCAAAAAUGUUGUUUAUUAGUACCAAAUACUAAUAUGAUAAAAAUGUUGAGGUCACUAACAGAAUAGAAUGCAAGGGACAUUAAUAUUUUGGGGAUGAAAACUUUCAUUUCAUGAAGUGACAGGACAUGAGGAACCUAAGCUCAAGGACAUUGCAUGACAGUGAAAGGUUUCAAAGCUGGUCGGUGGAUAACAGGGUAGGACCUAGAACCUCAAGUUCCUGAGCCCAGGCCACAGCCUCCACAUGGGCCUCUUCCUCUAAGAAAUUACUGGAAUCUUCCUGCUUGGUUGGCUCCUGUGGCCUUGCUUUCACCCAAGGUGCCAUGUGAUAUUCAUUAUUUGUGAGGAAAGAUACAUAAGAUUUCAGUGAUAUAAAUCCCAUCCACUUAAGGGAUGAGACAGAGGGUCCAGGUGGAAAAGGCUCUAGGCACUGAGUUGAACCUUGCGGGAGUCUGGCUCUGUGAGACCCAGGAGUUCCCAUUCCCUGGAGCCGAGUGGA
rnacentral:lncRNA from 1 species